UUUCCUGUAGUUGAAUUACAGCGGUGGUUUUUCAAGCCAUUGGUCCUGGGUUAGAAUCCUGGCAGGAAUG
rnacentral:tRNA from 1 species